CAACGGUUUAAACCGCCAAUAGUCGGUCGGUUUUUUUUCGGAUCGUAAACCGACCAAUAAAACCGAAACCGACCGAAAAACCUUUUCCAUAUAUAAUUUUUUAAUUUUUUUACUUAUGUAUACUAAUAACUAAUAAGUGAUAAAUAAUAAUAUAUAAUAUAUAAUAUAUUAUUAUUUUAUUAAUAUUAAAAUUUAAAAGUAUAAACCUUUAAUAAAGUGAUUGACUUGAUUGACUCUCUCUCUCCAAACCCUUUCCUUCUCACUCGUGACUCACUCUCUCUCACCACACUCACCUUCUUCUCUCUCAUUUUUUUUUUCUGCCAUAGCCAUAGUUUAGGGCUUUAAAGUUCAAACUUCAAACAAAGUUUCAAUCCAUAAUCCAUUGCCCCGCCCCCGACCCCCAAUCUCACUCACCCAGUCACUCUUACUCUCACUCUCUUCUUCUCUCGUCUCUCCAUCCGAAACUCUCUUCUCAUCAUCAACAUCAAUCAAGCACCAUCUUCCAUAUUCAGAUUUAAGGUUUCAUUUUCAGGUUUAAAACUGUGUCAAGACUCUGCCAAGACUCGACCUAUAUCUCACUCUAAGCACAACCCAAAUUGGUUUAAGAUCAGGAUGGGCUAUUAUGAUUACUUGAAUGUUAAAAUGCAUUCUUCAUGCAAAAUAAUAAAAUUGUUGUAGCUAUAUUUUUGGUUAAAAAAGACCAUGCAAGUUGGUCUUAGCAUAUUCUUUUUAUUUUACUCUGGUAUAUGUUUUGUAUUAUCAAUUUCUUACAUUAAAACAAAAUCUUCAUUUAAGAAAGAUGCUUGAAGGAUGGAUUA